AAGAGGGAAGAAAAAGUCUCUUGCCUCUUCGGCAGGUCCAGACUUUUCCCCGGACUCCCUCCCGGCUAGCCGUGGUGCACUAACCCCCUGAAGGCCUGUGUUCACGCCGCAAAGCCCAGUCCUCUCCCUUCGCUCCGACCAAAGCCCGAGCCUCAGCUCCCAGCCCCGGCCCACCCCGGCGGGUAAGCAGACAAGCCUCUCGUACUGAGCUCAAUCCUAUAAAUGAGGAUCAACCCAAAGCAGGUGGCAUGCCAUCAAGACCGUGGCCACUUUGCCCUUUAUAUGCAGGAUGCUCAUGUCGGCUAUUGUAACCAGGAUAAAUCACAGGCUGAGGAAUAUCUUUCUUGGCUCCAAGCUGUACCGCCUUGGGAGAUGGUGUCACAGCUGGAGUCACACUGCUCCUUUGAGGAAUUCAUGUAGCUGUCGAUGUCCUAGAUCCUGUCCUUUUCAUGAUGCCAUGAAUAAAUAGGCCAGUGAAUGCCACUCCACAAAACCCACUUUUAUCCAGCUCCUCAGUCUUUGGGAAUCAAGCUACCACGAGGCUUUGAACUACUACCCUGCUCAAUUCUCAAGGCUACAGCUUCUACCAUGUCCUGUUUCGGCAAUGCAGUCUUUGUCUUCGUAAGGCCUAAGGCUGCAAACCAGUGAUCUAAGGAUUGAAUUUGAUUCACAGAUGGGAUUCUUCUCCAAUUGCUAGUCUCCACUACUCCCUGCUGUUUCCCAACAAUACAACUGAGCAUCUGUGUCAUCAUUCUUUCACUGUUGCUUUUCCUACAUUUGUGGUUCACCUCCCAACUCCAAAAAUCAGAUUGUCCAAGUUUAAAUCCAAGCUCCACCACUUACUAGCUGUACGGCUUGGUCAAGUUGUUUAGCCUUUCUGUAUUUCAGUUUCCCCACCUUUACAUUGCAAAUACAUAAAAGACACCUAUCUCAUAAAGGUGUUGUAAGGAUUAACUGAAUUAGUGUAUGUGUGACACUUAGAACCAUAUCUAGCACAUAGUAAGUGCUUUGUAGGUGUUUUUAUUUUAUAUUAUUAUUGCUUUAUUUCUUUAUUAUUACUGACUUGACUUGUAUAAAUAUUUGAUGAGAUCCAUGGACCAGAUCUUUCCACAUAGAGGUCUUAGUGGGAGUUUUCUCCAAAGUAGUUCUACUUUCAACCAUGUCUUACCAACGUUUUUUGUCUUUAACAACAAAAAAAUGUUUAACUAGCUCCUUAGCAGUGAGCAGAAAGGUCUAAUGGACUUCUUUUUAGGGGGCAGAGGUGUGUGAAGAAUCAUCUUUCAUUCCUUUGAUAGGAGAUUAGUAAUUUUUAAAAAAUCACCCUAUCACAUUUUACCAGGCCAAAGAAAAUGUACCUGGUUUCUAACUCUGAAGUCUGUACAGAUUUCCUCACUCUGCCCCUUACUUAUGCCCCACCAAGAAGGUGUUUCUACUACAUUAAGAAACUGGCUAAAUUCCACCCCCGCAUCUGUUUCCUAAGACUAACUUGUGGUUUUUCAUUCCACAUCACUUAUAACUCAAGGUAAUUUGACUUGCUUCUUCAAGUCUCAGGCUUCACUUGUUAGCUGGCUUGUCAAUCAUCCAUUUUCUGUGGUGAGUCAAAAAUAUUUUUCACUUGGUGAAUAAAAUAUGGAUAUUUCAUUUUAUUGAACCAUUUCGGGUUUCUAGAGUUGAAUUGUUGAUGUCUUGAGAUUCUUUGCACCUGCUUAAUUUUGAUACAUGACCUUUACAUUGCUUUGAAAGUCAAACUUCUAAUGGGGAAGAUUUUAUUUUAAUGUACAUAUUGGCAUGUUUCAUAGGUUCAUAAGCUCUUUCUUUUAUGUGCAGAGAAUGAAAAUAAAUGAUCCUUUGACCGCCUGUCAGCCAGAGUUUCAUUUCCUAUAUCUAACCAUGUCCCUUAGGUAGAAAUGGCAGCCAGGGGCAGUUGGGUUUUUAUUUAUUGCUAUGACAUUUUGUACACAUUUGAAAGGAACCAUGGUUGUGGAUCUAGAAAUAGGGUACAUGCAGAGACCAGGAAAUUUCAGAAACUGACUGAAUGAUCCUGUGAUGAAAUGGGCAUAUCCUAAUCUAACUUCCUGUUGCCUCAUCUUUUGAGUACAUAAAUCCCUGCCACUAUCCAGGGGAGGGAGGAAGAGCCUUUCUAUCAGACUGUACCUUUUACAUUCACGCUUUUCUCCAUACACUGGUCCUGCAGCUCACUUUAGGAAUGUGGAGACGUGGCGGGGAGGGGAAGUGGUGAAGAAUUGGAGAAUUCAGGGAAAGGGGACCAUUUUUUAAUGUGUUUCAGAAUGAAGACUCCAGUGAGAUAUGUCAGAGAACACAUUUGUUGUUCGUGGUGGCUGUAGUUGCUUAGUAGCCAGUCCUAGAGACUAAGAAGUUCAAAAGAAAAGAAAAAAAAAUGUAUUAACUAUGUUCUAAGAGUUGUUUUCACUGCUUUACAGAUCUUAUCUCUUUCACCCUAUAAUAAUCCUAUGAGAUAAGAACUAAUUUUUGCCCAUUUUAAAGGUGAGAACAUUUGGGAUCAGACAGGUAAACUAACUUAUUCAAGGUACCUGUUUAGUAAGAGCAGAACCAGACUUAAACCCAUUCUGUUUCAGAUCACACAGCGAGAGAAGUGAUAACCUAGUUGUUCUCAGGACUUUCCUAUAGUAUGGAAAGUUUUUUACUGAUUAUUUAUGGUAGACUUACAGACCAUAUAAAAUUGCUAAGCUAUUUUUAGGAGUAUUUUUUUAUUGUUGUUGC